rnacentral:rRNA from 1 species
CGUCUCAGUUCGGAUUGUAGUCUGCAACUCGACUACAUGAAGCUGGAAUCGCUAGUAAUCGCGGAUCAGAAUGCCGCGGUGAAUACGUUCCCGGGUCUUGUACACACCGCCCGUCACACCAUGGGAGUCAGUAACGCCCGAAGCCGGUGACCUAACCGAAAGGGAGGAGCCGUCGAAGGUGGGACCGAUAACUGGGGUGAAGUCGUAACAAGGUAUC